rnacentral:lncRNA from 1 species
UGUAAAUCUACCUGUGCAGUGUUAAUUAACUCCCCAUAAUCAGAUUCGGCACGGAGAGAUAACUCGAGGAACCUAUAAUUUAGGGGACUUUCCGGUACUCUCUACUGAUCAGAUAAUGAAGACCACGUCCACCUGAGGAUCAGGAGACUGACCAGGACCUCCAGACCUGUCUUGAGGCCACCUGACAGUACCACUCCCAUGCACCUUCCAUGCCCACCCUCACCCAGUUCCUCGUAGAGGAAGAGCCGGGAACCAACCUGCCUCUCCCUGGACGCCGCUGGCACUGUCCUUGGUGCGUGGCCCUUGCUUUACCCCCUUGAAUGUGUGCCACUUCCCAGAUCGUCCCCUCCGCUCUCUGGCUGUGUCUGCUGAAAGUCUUUUCCGUCGCAUAAGCCAGGACCCUGCUGGUCCUGGGCCGACUCCCCCCUUCUCUCUGGGGACCCCUGGACACCUCUUCUCUCAAGACAUGCCCACUCCAAACCAGUGCAACACGCCUGUGCCCCAGGCCCCGGCCAGGCUCUGGGGGUGCAAGGACGUGGCAGAGCUGCCGUGAGGGGCCUUGUGUGGCCCCCUGCAGGGUCGUCAUCCCUCAGCUGGGCCGGGCUGGCGUUCACUCUCUCCUCCACCUGUCCAUUUGGCCCAAGGCUGCAUUGCACUCAGCCUGGGGGGCAGAUGGAGCAGCCGCGAGGCAAAGACAGACGCUUUGGGGAAGAUGUGGUAAGAGGCCCCGGGCCUCCGGCAGGCUGGUGUCUGCCUUGCCCCUAGACAUGCCUCCCAGGCUCGGCUGCCAGCCCGAGGACAGCUGCUCUGGGCACGGCUGUCUGACGGCAGGAGCUGUCAGGCAGCGUGGCUGGCAGGUAGGGUUGCAGCUAUGGGUGGGGCCGGCACAUAGGGCCUCCCCAAGGUGCCAGAAGCCCUUCUUGUGCCUGGGAGUUUCCUGGGAUCAGCUUGGGAAGAGGUGGGGUCAGUGGCCAGUUCCUGUUGUCUGGACCCCCGUUACCCUGUCCUCCCUCCUCAGCUUCGUUGCCCCAGACCUGGCGGAUGUCUGAGCCUGAAGCUCAGCCAGAUGGGGACACAGGCAGUGGUCUGGGAGGAGGCCUGGAGCCCCUAGGUCCAC